GACGAACGCUGGCGGCGUGCUUAACACAUGCAAGUCGAACGGUGAAGCGCCUUCCUUUUUGGUGGGUGUGGAUGAGUGGCGAACGGGUGAGUAACACGUGAGUAACCUGCCCCCUUCUUCUGGAUAACCGCAUGAAAGUGUGGCUAAUACGGGAUAUUCUGGGUCUGUCGCAUGAUGGGUCUGGGAAAGAUAUUGUUUCGGUGGGGGAUGGGCUCGCGGCCUAUCAGCUUGUUGGUGGGGUGAUGGCCUACCAAGGCGGUGACGGGUAGCCGGCCUGAGAGGGUGGACGGUCACACUGGGACGGAGACACGGCCCAGACUCCUACGGGAGGCAGCAGUGGGGAAUAUUGCACAAUGGGCGCAAGCCUGGUGCAGCGACGCCGCGUGAGGGAUGGAGGCCUUCGGGUUGUGAACCUCUUUCGCCAGUGAAGCAGGCCUGCCUCGUUUGUGGGUGGGUUGACGGUAGCUGGAUAAGAAGCGCCGGCUAACUACGUG
rnacentral:rRNA from 1 species